CACCCACUCACACUCUGUCUUUCUCUCUCUCAAAAAUAAACAUUAAAAAAGGGGGGAGGGGGCACCUGCUGCCGUGGAGUGCAUCAAACACCCGGAAAAGGAAGAAGCAGCAGAGGGUUGACAGGUAGGAUGGAAAGGAACAUGGUAUAAUGGCUUUGAGCCCUGGCUCGGGAUUCUGGGCCUGGCUUUCCCUCUUAUUAGCUGUGUCACUGGAGAAAGACCCUUAACCUUCCUAAGCUUCAGUUUCCUUAUUUUCAAAAUGCAGAUAUUCAUAGUACCUACUUUACAGGAUUACAUAAGGAUUAAAUGAGAUGAUAUAUGUAAAGCACUUAGGUUAACUGCCUGGACCAUGCCUAUUUUUUGCAGGGCCUGGUACCUAGAAAUUGCUCAGAAUAUUAUAAAAAUUGCUGAGUAGGAUGACCCUACCCACUUGUGAAGGCCAGCUCUACAGUGGCAUUCAAUGCUAUCCAAAGGAUAUUGACAUCUUGGACAUGGUCCAGAUUGAAGGUGGGUAUGUGUGUCCAGUCAAGCAGCAGGAGCAAGUCCAGCUCAUUCAGCUCGCUAGACCCCAGCCAGCACUUGGGCCAGAGAUGAGAAGGAUUGGGGAGUUGGGCUCAGCACAUCAGAGGAAAAAUCGGGUACAGUAGGAUCCAGGCAUGAUGUCAGGACCACAUCCGGACAGGCUUAAACUGGUAAAUCGGAUCAGCACUGACUCAGAAACAAGGGCAGGCCUGGGCCUGCUCUGGCAAAGCAGAAGUGCUGUGCAGGGUAGGAACACGGAGGAAGGGGAAUGAAGAAUUUUCCUCUAUGUUCUCUCUAGUCCUUAACUACAGUGCUGAGAGGCAGACAGCACUAACCUCACAUUCCAGCUGAGAAAGUAAGGCUCAGAAAGGAUGAGCAGCUUGUCCAGAGUCCCCCAGGUGAUAGAGCUGGCAUUCAAAUUCAGAUCCGUCCGGAUGGAGAGCUUCGGGGGUCACCCCCUUAUCAUAGCUGUAGAGGAAUUCUGCCCCAGAACCUUCUCUUUAGUGACAGUGCUCAUGCUGUGAGUGUCCCAUGCUCUCAAACAACUGCUCUCCCACUCAUACAUGACCCGGGGUUCCCCAUGCUUUAUAGAAAAAGGAAAACACACACGGAUGAGGCAAGGAUCAUGGGAACCCUAGGAAUCCACUGGCAUCUCAACAGUGAGGGACAGCUUGAUAGAAAAGCUGAAAGAUCUUGGGCAAGAUUCUUAACCCCUAGGCCUCAGUUCUCCCCAUGGGUCAAUACGAUAAUCCUGCUACCUACCUUUUAGGGUUAGUGGUAAGGAAUCAGAAAACUAUGUGUAAAGUUCCUAGCACAGAACCUGGCAGUAACAGGCACUCCGCAAAUAUUGUUUCUACAGUGUUCUCUUUGGGCCACCUGACCAGAGGGUUAAUUCCUAAGAAAAUUCUGGUUCCUACUAUAAAGCCAGUGUUUUAGGAAAAUGUAAAUGUCUGUGUGUGUGGAUUUCUAUAACCAUAUGUAGCUUGAAAACAAAAAUUUUAAUGGCUCCAAUACUCACCUUCUUGCACCGGGAAAGGAGGCUUUAUUUAAUGCACACAUGUAAAGUAUAAGUACAUUUUGCUUUCAUGAAGAAGAAUUACAGCAUGGCCAGAAUGGUUUGUGGGAUUUUUGUUUUGUUUUGUUGCCUACCGAAACCUUUUCUUUCAAGUUGAAGCCAGCCUUGCUUAACGAAUCAUUUUGCUGAGGAACACAUUAUAGGUUUUUAGUUUUGACCCCAAAUACUUGCCAUAUGUGAAAAACAUAAAUGGGGCUUUCAAAGGAGCCCGAGAGAACAAAAGCAGGGAAAGGGAAGUGGGGAAUAAAAGACAAGAAUGGCAACAUGCAGGGUUGCCAUAACCCUCAGAUGCGACGCCAGUGUUUGCUGGUCCACAUGAGGCAUAUGGGAGGGAUGCCCUCUCUUAGGGAGACCCAGACGGGGCAUUGGCCUUUAUAUUCAGAGCAUAGUUGAUGUGGUUGCCAGUUGCACUGGGAACAAGAGGGAUACAGGGGUAUAAGUUCCAAAGGGAGCAGUAAAAAUAAGAAAGAAAAGAAAAGGAAAGGGAAGGGAAGGGAAGAAGGGAAGGGAAGAAAAAAAAGAAAGAAAGAAAAAGAAAAAAGAAAAGAGAAGAAAAGAAAAGAAAAAAGAAAAUAAAAAGGAAAAGAAAAAAAGGACAUCCUGGAAACUCCCACUGAAUCAUCAGGUGAAGUGGUAAAGUGAGAAGGCCUUGAGCCCUGGAGUCACCGAGUUCUUCUUCAGAUCACUGCUUCACUACUUACUAAUUGACAUGGUCUCACUAGCCAGAUUGUGCAUUGCUGCCAUUAGGGACUGCCAAGACUGGCCUGGAGACCUCAUGAUGCACCGAGACUGGGCCUGCUGCUAUUCCAGUGAAAUCAGGUUCUGUCAUAACAGGUUUUCCUUGGGAGAAAAGAGCCAUGGUCAACUAAGUUUGGGACACAGAUUUUAUUUGAGUCAGAAGCAUAAGUGGCAAUAAGGACUCUGAGAGCAAGAGAAAUGUGAGCUGUAACUUCACUGGGGCAGCAAGAGACCAUAAUUAUCACACGGACAGCAAGAUACUAAGGAGUUGACCCUGCAAACUGCAUCAUCCAGGAUCUUUUUGCCCUCUGGCUUCCAGCGUGGUUCAGUCGACAAGAGGUAACCUCUCCCCACCACCGCAAUGCCAAGAGCCUAAUGGUAGCUCCCUCUAUAACUACAGCUUCUGAUGGGCAGCAGCCUUCCAUAGCACUGGCUCAUGCCAGUCUCCCAAAAUAUUGCUGCCUCCCCUCACCUAAGAGUAGUAACAGCUUCUGGAUGCCUGGCGCCUCUCAUCACUUGUUGGUUUCCUCAACUGCAUCCAUACUUCUAGAAAUAGUCUAUUAAAUUCUCAUCAGAAUCCAAUAGGAGAAUGUACAGUAUUCUGUUUCUGGCCAGGCCCCUGACUGAUUAAAUAAAUAUUUAUAAUAAGGUAGAGAGGGAGGGAAUAGAGUCCCAGUUUUGAGCCCCUACUAUAGGCCAAGCACAGGCACUGUUUAUAAAGAUAUUCAAUAAAUGCUGAUAAAUCUGAACAAAGGGGUAUGAGAGAGGAUUAAAAAAAAAACAGAUGUCACAAGAAUUUGAGACACAGGAAUCAGAUCCUUUCCAUCAGAUGACCCCCUUUCCCUAAUACGGAAUGUGAACAGAAGAAAGAAACUCAGGAUUGAUUUAGUCUGAACAACAACAAAAUGCUAGCAUGUAUUAAGAUGUAAAAUAUCGUUCUCAGUUUUAAUGCAAUUCAAAGAGAAACGAUGUGGCAAGUGCAUGAUUUUUCUCUCUGCCAUUUAAUAUAGUUGGGUAUAUAGUGGACGCGAGUGGGUAUAACAUCAUUAAUGGAAUGACUAGUAUUCUCAAAUGCCUAACCACUUUUUGGAAUGAUUUACAAUUUUCUUUUUUUUAAUGUUUGUUUAUUUUUGAGACAGAGUGUGAACAGG